GGGGUGGAAAAGUCAGGUUACAAUGGUUUGGUGUAAGAACAGGGGUCCCAGGAAGUUGCUUGCUUUCGGGAAUUCAUCUCGAACCUCUUCUUUGGUCUGGAGAAUUCAAGAGAGUCUGUCUUACUCACAGUCGUCACUAACUGGAAGAAGCGUUGAUCUGAAUUUCAUCAGAGUCCGCAUACUGAAAGCCCUAAGACCAGAAGCUGCUAAGCAGAAGUGAGCCUUAUUCCUUGGUUCACCUGCUACUGCUUCCUUAUCAUACUGCUGCUUCCCUUUGUCUGCAAAAGGGAAAGGAUAGAGGAGUGAAACGUGCAUUUAAAAAUCAUUUGUAAUAAUUUGAAGGUUCUUUGAAAAUAAUAUAGGUGAAUAUAGGAGUUAAAAUUGGUGUACAGGGGCGCCUGGGUGGCUUAGUGGGUUAAAGCCUCUGCCUUCAGCUCAGGUCAUGAUUUCAGGGUCCCAGGAUGGAGCCCUGCAUCGGGCUCUCUGCUCAGCAGUGAGCCUGCUUCCCCCACCCUGCCUGCCUCUCUACUUGUAAUCGCUGUCUGUCAAAUAAAUAAAUAAAAUCUUAAAAAAAAAAACCCAAAAAAAUAAAUAAAAUGAGUGUACAAGGAAACUACAUUUAGAUAGUAGUAGUGGAAAUUCAGGUUAAAUGAAUAUUCAGAUCUAAAUCAUUGUUGUGAUUCUUUUCCUGGUUACAGCCCUGGUGGGUGGCUGUGCCCUUUGCAAAGGGUAAAGCUAAUCCUUUGUCACAGCCAUUCUUCACCCCACCUUGGCUAACAGUUUACCUCACUAAGUAAAGGAAGUCCGUUGAUAACAGAACUAGGAAGGCUCCAUUGCAGAUAGGUUAAUCUAGGGGAGGAAAAGACCUCUGUAUCUGGAAGGAUGCUGUAGGACAUUGAUAAUAUAUCUUACAAAUUUUGUGUUUUUAUUUUAGAAAAGUUACAGUUUAAUACGUGUUUUUAUUUUUUUUUAAGUAAUCUCUACACCCAAUGAGGGGCUCGAACUCAUAACCCCUAGAUCAAGAGUCACAGGCUCUGCUCACUGAGCCAGCCCGGAGCCCUACAAUACUUGUUUUAAAAAUGUUUUGAAGUCCCAUGAGUAACUAGUAUGUAUGUGUGCUUGUAGCUGCCAGAAUCCUCCUAGAAUGCGAAACAGAGCCGUGGGCAGCCAGAUUGGGAUAAGAAAUCCACCUAAAUUAAACAAGUGAGAAGAAAAGGUCUAAAACCUUUAAGAGAUUAUUUCCUUUGAGGCAGUUUCUUUGUUCAUUGUGUAGCAUUUAGCAGUUUGUGAUUCAGUUAUCCACUGCAGUAGAAUGAACUUUCCCACGCAUUAAAAAUACAUGUUUGAGGGGUGCCUGGGUGGCUCAGUGGGUUAAAGCCUCUGCCUUCGGCUCAGGUCAUGAUCCCAGUGUCCUGGGAUUGAGUCCUGCAUUGGGCUCUCUGCUCAGCAGG